rfam:Schistosoma mansoni, Puerto Rico, WGS project CABG01000000 data, contig: 0227
AAUCUCUUUCAAUUCAUGCCGAGAUUUCGUUAGAUACCAACCCAUUAGGGCUGAUCAGACUUCCAAGAUGAGUGAAGUU